rnacentral:tRNA from 1 species
GGCUUCGUAGCUCAGUUGGUAGAGCGCUUGUCCCUUUGAGACAUGGUGUUUCUGUCGCUGGUUCGAAUCCAGCCGAAGCCC